rnacentral:lncRNA from 1 species
GUCCUUGAUGACUGCUCUUUUAGUGAGAAAGAGUACCAUUAAGAUGGAUGAGGUAACCAUGAUGAUUCUUUAAAAUGAGAUUCUUAGGAGGGAGAAUCCAGCUUCAAGAUUAGGUAAUGGUAGCUCAGCUUUGAUAGUUUCUGAAGGAGCAAGUGGUGACAGAUGGAGCGACAGAAGAUCACGACGAGGGUGGUCCAAGUUCAAGAUGAAGGACUUGAGCAAGAUCAUAUGUUACUAAUGUGAUGAGUUGGGGCAUCUAGUCAGAGAUUAUCCACAAUGGAG